ACAAGCGGUGGAGCAUGUGGUUUAAUUCGAAGCAACGCGAAGAACCUUACCAGGUCUUGACAUCCCGAUGCUAUUUCUAGAGAUAGAAAGUUACUUCGGUACAUCGGUGACAGGUGGUGCAUGGUUGUCGUCAGCUCGUGUCGUGAGAUGUUGGGUUAAGUCCCGCAACGAGCGUAACCCCUAUUGUUAGUUGCCAUCAUUCAGUUGGGCACUCUAGCGAGACUGCCGGUAAUAAACCGGAGGAAGUGGGGAUGACGUCAAAUCAUCAUGCCCCUUAUGACCUGGGCUACACACGUGCUACAAUGGUUGGUACAACGAGUUGCGAGUCGGUGACGGCGAGCUAAUCUCUUAAAGCCAAUCUCAGUUCGGAUUGUAGGCUGCAACUCGCCUACAUGAAGUCGGAAUCGCUAGUAAUCGCGGAUCAGCACGCCGCGGUGAAUACGUUCCCGGGCCUU
rnacentral:rRNA from 1 species